rnacentral:rRNA from 1 species
AAAACUUUCAACAACGGAUCUCUUGGUUCUGGCAUCGAUGAAGAACGCAGCGAAAUGCGAUAAGUAAUGUGAAUUGCAGAAUUUAGUGAAUCAUCGAAUCUUUGAACGCACAUUGCACCCUCUGGUAUUCUGGGGGGUAUGCCUGUUCGAGCGUCAUU